AUUUGCAUGGUGCUUUUGACUGGAGCAUCGGGGAGGUCCAGCCUUGCUGUGCAGUCAGAGAUAGCGCAGUGAUGUGUGUCCUCUCCUCCCUCACCCCACGUCUGGCGGUUGCCAAAGCUAUGUGAAAAGAAAUGGAUAUACAGAAGAACACUUUCAUUUGUUGUUAUGUCAAGUGAAGAUGUAACAUGAGCAACAUAAGGAUGUUUACUGAUGCGGGGGCCACCAGGCACAGAGUGCUGGAAUUUUGCUUAAAGGAAGCAAGCCAGAUGGGAAGAGAAAAGAAAUCCCAAGCUGUCAAGUGUCACAUCGCUACAGACCAGAUGUUCUACUUUUCCCUGGUAAUGGUUAACAUGGCGCUACCUCAUUAUACACCUCUCUUUGGAAAUUAUGCCAGUGCUACUUCAGAAUCAUCCAAAAGCCAUGCUGAAUCAAUGAGACAGCUGGCGCCCUCCCUGGGGAUGGAGUACUUUACCUUUUGGAUUCAGGCAGACACUGUGAACCGAGAUCCAGGAUGCUGUGAAUGAUUUUUCAU
rnacentral:lncRNA from 1 species